UUCUUUCUCUUUUUUUUUUUAGCUGACAUGAAGAGGAAUGUUGGCAAGCUUCAUAUUUUGGCUGCAUGUCUAAAACUCGAUGACAAUCCUUUUCAGAAUGCCAAAGACUUAGUGCUGCCACAGCUACCCUCCACGCCUCUGUACCCAAAUGCGAAGGUUGCAGAGGUGCUGAGUAGUCUACUGGGAGAAAAGUACUUUUCUGAAAACGUACAGUUGCCACAUAAAUAUCAUAUUGAUUUUGAAAUCAGAAUGGAUACUAAAAGGAAUCAAGUGCUUCCAUUUUCUCCUGUGGAUUUGUCAACUCCUGCUACAAAUAUUCAGAGAGUGGCUGUACUGUGUGUUCCUAAAUCUAAUUACUGUUUGGAUUCAGCCCACCCUAGAGGAUUCCUUGCUAUGAAAAUGCGGCAUUUGAAAGUAAUGGGUUUUCAUGUGAUCUUGGUCAAUAAUUGGGAGAUGGAAAAACUAGAGAUGAAGGAUGCAGUCAAAUUUUUGAAGACUCAGAUCUAUUCAUCUGAAGCCUUUCCUACUGGUGGUGUAAAUUUGCAAAGCACACAUUAAAGUGAAAAGCAACUUUUUCAUAUUAGGAGAAGGUUACCAUGAUGUUCUCUGAUGGGCCGAGGCUGGUGAACUGAAAGGGCCUAGUCUUUGGAAGUUUAGCAGACACCAGGAUUUCCUCUCUGAGAGCUCCAAAAGAAUCAUUUGGGACAUUCAGGACUCUUUACACACUUUCACCAUAGCACUAACAAUAUUAUCCAUUGUAUAGUUGGGUUACCUGUCUUUCUCACCAAUAGACUGAACUCCUUGAGGGAUGAACUAUAUGUUCUCUAAUUUUUUGUCUUCAGAGCCUAGUGCAUACAUGGCACAAAUAGGGGCUAUUUGAAGUGUUGAGUGAGUGGAUGAGGGAGAAGGUGAGUGGGGCAAUAGCUCUCAGCAGUGAUUGGAAAACCUCUUUUAGCAUAUCAGGAUGACAGGAGGAAAACAUGGGCACGUGUACAAAACUGGGAGCUCCUGUCUUAUGAUUCUGUCUUCUCUGUGAGGUACGAGAAAAGUGUGGGGGCAGGGAGGCCAAGAGUUUUGGAGAUUAGAAAACUUUGAAAUGGUGGCUUGGAAAACACCAGAGAUAAUUGGUGGGGGAAAUAUAGGGUGUUGCCAGCAGCAUUUAGGAUCAAUCUCACUUCCAGUCCCAGCUUUUUACUACCCUAUUUUCCCCUAUUGUCUCCUUCCUUUGCUUUUUAGAGACCCUCACAUGUUUGCAUCUUAAACAAACAAGACCCCCCCACAACCCCAUCCCUCUCCAACAACUGCUUUCUUACUCCUCCCCUUCAGGAAGGAACUCCUGUGAAGAGCUGCUGCCCUCACUUUUCUAGCUUCCCCACUCCUUUUCCUCCUCCCCCAGAGUCCUUUUUGUUUCCUUCAUUGAAUUCUUUCCCAAUGAGUAAUCAUGAUGUUCUUGUUGCUAAAUACAAUGCAUACUCGAGGUCUUUAUCUCACUUAACUUCAGAGCAGCUUUUGACUGCUCCUUCCUUAUUGAAAGUUCUGUAUCUCCUAUUUUUCUAGCUGUUCCUUUCCAAUAUUCUUUGCAUGCUCCUCUUCUUUUGCCCACCUUUAUGUACUUCUCUUGGGGGUUUUGGUCUGGGCCUUCUAUUGUUCUCAUGCCACAUUACCUUCCUGCGCAAUCUACUCACUGCCUUUCUCCAGUUGCAUCUUCAUGCUGAUGGCUGCACAGCCUACAUCUUCAGCUUAUCUAUUUCUUUAGCUCCAAACCCAUAUAUCCAGAUGCUUCCUUGACCUCUACAUCUGCAUGUCCUACAGAAACCCAAGCUCAUCAUGCCCACUGCUCAAUUCAUCUCCAUUACCUUCCCCCAUGUUCCCUAGUUUAGUCAAUGGCAUCUCUGCCUGUUUGGUAGACAAGCCAGAAAUCAGGACAUCAUCCCUACCUGCUAGCUCUCUCAUCAUUAUUUUACCUCUUUAAAGUCCCUCUCAAAAUACUGCUACCCUAGGCUAGCCACCAAGACCUCUUGUCUAGAUUACUUCAACAGAUUCCGAAACAGUCUAUUUCUAGUUCAUUGCUUCUCCAAACAAAACCUCCAUAUUACAGCCAGAAUACAAAUUCGAUCAUUUUCUACCUGCUAAAAUUUAAAAAAAGAUAUGCCCUUUCCUGCUUCCAGGAAGUUCACACUUUUACCAGGCCUAUAAUCCUUCAUGAUCUGACCACUCCCACUUCAUCUUUAACCAUUCCCCUCUGGCUCUCUAGGCCACAUGCAUACUGAUUUCUUUUUAGUUUUUUUAACAUACUAUGUUCUCUCUCACCUCAACAUGGUACGUUUUCUGUCUGGAACUUUCUUCUCUCCUUUGGAUAACAUUCAUUCAUUCCCUUAAAUAUUUUGUUUAUGUAUUAGUGAGGCACCAUACUAUGCAUUAGGGAUAUAGUAGUGAAUAAAAUAGAAAAGUCCCUGCUCCCUAACAUUAGGACUGGUCCUGUUCUAAUCAAGUUUUUGUAUCUGUCAUGGUAAGCAUCCAACUAGAACUUGUUUGUGGAUUCUUCAGGGCCCCCAAGAGAAACUUUCGCUGUGCCCUUCCCUAGGGAAAGAUACUGGGUGGCUCAUCAGAUCAAAAGAAAGCUAAAUAAUGACACUUCAAGAGGGACAAGAUCAAAAAAAACUCUAUAAUCCCAUGGUCAUGAGCCCUUGGAUUGGUUCAUCAUAGUGAUAAUAUUGUUGUUACUCACCUCCAGCUAGCUUCCUAAAAUAGGGAUAUGAUAGAGGGUGACUUGUAUGUGUCCUCCUGAUAAAAGUUCAAAUUCCAGGGAAAGUGAAUGUGAUCAAUCUAGUUAUGUUCAUUUAUCUACAACUAUAAGUUGUAUAGUAUGUCUGGAAGCCAGCGUAUUGUAACAACUGUUACAGAUGGUGGUGAUGUUAUUUGGGUUAUGAUAGCAGCAGAGAUGGAGAAAAGUGGGUGGAUUCAGGAUGUUGAUAGGCAGAGACUGACAAGGUUUGCAGAGUGAAGUCAAAGUGUAGGGGAAAAGAAUCAUGGAUGAUGAGUAGAUUUUCAAAUUUGGAAGGUGGGACCAUUUUUUGAGAUUGGAAGACUGGGGGAAGAAUAAGAUUUGGGUUGAUGGGGUUUGGGGAGGUAGAGAAGAGAUUGUGAAUCUACUUUGGUCAUGGUAAGUGUGAGAUGCUUAAUCAGCCAUUGGCUAUGAAACUGGAGCACAGUAGAGCAGUCAGAUCUAAAGAUAUCAAUAUGGGAGUCUUCAACAUAUAGAUAUUAUUUAAAGUCAUGAGUCUAGACCAGAUAACCUAUGGAUAUGUGUACAACAUAGUGAUUUGAUAUUUGUAUGCAUUGUGAAACAAUCAUCACCAUAAAUCUAGCUACCGUCUGUCACCAUACAAUAUUAAUAUAGUAUUAUUUACUAUAUUCCCCCUGUUUUACAUUACAUUUCCAUGGCUUAUUUACUUUAUAACUGAGAGUUUGUACUUUUUGAUCCCCUUCACCCAUAUAAUCCUCCCCUCAACCCCUGUCCUUUCUAGCAGCCACCAAGCCAUUUUCUGAAUGAGUCAGAGUUUUGUUUUGUUUGAUUGUUAAUGUUUUUUAGAUUCCACAUAAAAGUUAAAUCAUGUGGCAUUUGUCUU